GUUAUAAUAGGGUUACGUGGGAAAUAAUGGGGUUAUGGGGGAGAUAAUGAGGUUAAGGGGGGAGAUAAUGGGGUUUGGGGGAAAAUAUUGGGGUUUAAGUCAGUUAUAAGGGGGUUAUGGGGGAAAUAAUGGGGCUAUGGGGAGAAAUAAGAGGGUUUGGGGGGAAAUAACGGGGUUUCGGAGGGGUUGGGGGUUAUUUGGGGGGAAAUUGGGAGGUUGGGAGAGUUAUAGGGGAUUUGGGGUGGGAGAAGGAGAGGGAAGGGGGAAUGGCAUGGGGGGAAAUGGUGUCCGGAGGGGGGAAAAUGGGGCGAAAAGGGGGGAAAUGGGGCGAAAAGAGGGAAAAAUGGGACCAAAAAGGGGACAGAAUGGGAGCAAAAAGGGGACACAAAAUGGCGGCCAAGGGGGACAAAAUGGCGGCCUGAGGGGACGGAACGGGACCCAAAGGGGACAACGGGGGACCCAAAAGGGACCAAAUUGGGCCCAAAAAGGACAGGAGGGGCCCCGAGGGCCGCGGCUCACCCCUGCAGGUCGGCGUAGGUGUAGGCCAUGCCCGCCAUGCCCAGCGCCGGCAGCGCGUAGAACCAGCACGUGGCGAACAUCAGAGCCAGGCACAGCCCCGCGCCCGCCAGAGACACGGCCCUGGGACAGCGGGGACACGGUGGGGACAGUGGGGAUGUUGGGGACACUUUGGGGACAUUUUGGGGACAUUUUGGGGACACUUUGGGGACAUUUUGGGGACAUUGGGGACAUGUUGGGUCAUCUGGGACGUUGGGGACGCGUUGGGGACACUUGGGGUCAGUUUGAGUACAAUUUCAGGACAUCGUGGGGAUAUUUUGGGGACAUUUUGGGGAUAUUUGAGGGAUAUUUUGGGGGUAUUCUGGGGAUGUUUUGGGGAUAUUUUGGGGACACCUUGGGGAUAUUUGGGGGGUAUUUGGGGGAUAUUUUGGGGACACUCUGGGGACACUUUGGGGCCGUUUGGGGGACACUUUGGGGCCAUUUUGGGGACACUUUGGGGACACUUUGGGGACACUUUGGGGACACUGUGGGGCCAUUUUGGGGCCGUUUCGGGCGGCGUCUCACCAGUGGUAGAGGCGGCAGCGGGGGUUCCAGCCGGGCGCCGUCAGCAGCCCCUGCAUGGCGCAGGCCAGGUUGAGGCACAGGUAGGCGGUGAGCGAGAACCUGGGGGGGGCGAUGACGUCACGGGGGGGGCCGUGACGUCACCGCGAUGACGUCAGAAGGACGGGGAGGGGGCACCCACACGGACAGGACGGGCGCCACCAGGUCGAUGGAGCCCAGCA
rnacentral:lncRNA from 1 species